AUUGAACGCUGGCGGCAGGCCUAACACAUGCAAGUCGAGCGAGCGGCGGACGGGUGAGUAAUGUAUGUGGACUGCCCGAUCGAGGGGGAUAACUACUGGCAACGGUGGCUACUACCGCAUACUGUCGGAUAACCCAUAUGGGAUUAGCUAGUAGGUAAGGUAAUGGCUUACCUAGGCGACGAUACCUAGCUGGUCUGAGAGGAUGGUCAGGCACACUGGGACUGAGGAACGGCCCAGAAGCCUACGGAGGCAGCAGUGGGGAAAAUUGCACAAUGGGCGCAAUCCUGAUGCAGCCAUGCCGCGUGUAGUAAGAAGGCCUUAGGGUUGGAAAGUACUUUCAGUCGGGAAGCGUUACCGACAGAAGAAGCACCGGCUAACUCCGGGCCAGCAGCCGCGGGAAUAC
rnacentral:rRNA from 1 species